rnacentral:rRNA from 1 species
GAUGAACGCUGGCGGCGUGCCUAAUACAUGCAAGUCGAGCGAACAGACGAGGAGCUUGCUCCUCUGACGUUAGCGGCGGACGGGUGAGUAACACGUGGAUAACCUACCUAUAAGACUGGGAUAACUUCGGGAAACCGGAGCUAAUACCGGAUAAUAUAUUGAACCGCAUGGUUCAAUAGUGAAAGACGGUUUUGCUGUCACUUAUAGAUGGAUCCGCGCCGCAUUAGCUAGUUGGUAAGGUAACGGCUCACCAAGGCAACGAUGCGUAGCCGACCUGAGAGGGUGAUCGGCCACACUGGAACUGAGACACGGUCCAGACUCCUACGGGAGGCAGCAGUAGGGAAUCUUCCGCAAAGGGCGAAAGCCUGACGGAGCAACGCCGCGUGAGUGAUGAAGGUCUUCGGAUCGUAAAACUCUGUUAUUAGGGAAGAACAAAUGUGUAAGUAACUAUGCACGUCUUGACGGUACCUAAUCAGAAAGCCACGGCUAACUACGUG